AGACAAAUCACCCAGGGAAUCUCGCUUGCUUAAAUGCAGGUUCUGAUUUAGUGGGUCUGGGGGGAAGCCUGGGAUUCUAACAAGUUCCCAGGUAAUGCUGAU
rnacentral:pre_miRNA from 1 species